rnacentral:rRNA from 1 species
UGCCAGCCGCCGCGGUAAUACGGAGGGUCCAAGCGUUGUCCGGAUUUAUUGGGUUUAAAGGGUGCGUAGGCGGCCUUAUAAGUCAGUGGUGAAAUCCUUCGGCUCAACCGGAGAACUGCCAUUGAAACUGUAAGGCUUGAGUACAGACGAGGUAGGCGGAAUUUAUGGUGUAGCGGUGAAAUGCAUAGAUACCAUAAAGAACACCUAUAGCGAAGGCAGCUUACUAGACUGUAACUGACGCUGAGGCACGAAAGCGUGGGGAGCGAACAGGAUUAGAUA